UAACUUAGAAACAUUGGAUACUGAUUAACAGGAGAAUUUAUAACUAGUUAGUAACUAACUUUCAUCAUGCAACCAGUAGAUACAGUUUUCAGAGGCAGAGUUCAGAGAAGACACUAUAACUAUUUAGCUCAGAAGGAUAUGGCUUUAUCCAUAUAUUAUGAUGGACCUACCAUGGAUAGGUUAGGUAUCCUAGAUAGCAUCUUGUUUAUGUUUAACCAGCUAGGUUGGGAGAAUG
rnacentral:lncRNA from 1 species